GACGAACGCUGGCGGCGUGCUUAACACAUGCAAGUCGAACGGAAAGGCCCUGCUUUUGUGGGGUGCUCGAGUGGCGAACGGGUGAGUAACACGUGAGUAACCUGCCCUUGACUUUGGGAUAACUUCAGGAAACUGGGGCUCAUACCGGAUAGGAGCUCCUGCUGCAUGGUGUGGGUUGGAAAGUUUCGGCGGUUGGGGAUGGACUCGCGGCUUAUCAGCUUGUUGGUGGGGUAGUGGCUUACCAAGGCUUUGACGGGUAGCCGGCCUGAGAGGGUGACCGGGCACAUUGGGACUGAGAUACGGCCCAGACUCCUACGGGAGGCAGCAGUGGGGAAUAUUGCACAAUGGGCGGAAGCCUGAUGCAGCAACGCCGCGUGCGGGAUGACGGCCUUCGGGUUGUAAACAGCUUUCGCCUGUGACGAAGCGUGAGUGACGGUAAUGGGUAAAGAAGCACCGGCUAACUACGUG
rnacentral:rRNA from 1 species